UGCCCCCACGCUUAUGUUCUUUCAGAAAAGAUAUCCAUGGAACAAAUCAUCUGAAAACUAAGAGAGGAUGAAGAAUACUUCUGUUAAAAAGUUGAAGUAACUGAUGAGCAGAUCAAUCCAACUUGAACAUGAUAUCAUUUCUCCAAGGAUGAAAACAAGUCUCUCUUUACUCAAGCAUUGAUAUUCUUAAAGUCAACUGAAACUGGAACAGGUCAUACAUGCAGACUACAGUGAUGUGUUGCACAGUUCCGAAAACAUGCAGCCACCACUAGCAUAAGCAUGAUAAGUGCAAGUGGGUCAUCAAAAAAUGAGAACCACUCAAGGACUUUUCUGUUGGUUGAUGAUGGACUUCAAACUGAAUUUU